GUCGAGUGAGCAUCUCCGACACGGCAACAACUGCAGCGCACUCUCCAUCUGCCUUCUUCACCGUAUUGCAAGUUCGCAACCAUGGUUAACUAAGGCGUCGUAUGCUGUUGGGUGGUGUAUGCUGUAUGGCUGGGUCGACCACUGAUGUACCGAUGUCUCCUGGGUAUGGCGGAUGCCAAACCGCAACGCUGCCGCCUUACUACACAACAACAACAUACGCAACAACCGGUUCCUACACCACCAAGGCUCAAGAGUGUUACACCACAAUUCAUGAUGCCCCGAGCUGCUACACCGAAUCCCGAAGUAUAACUCAACCCUGAGUAAUAUCACCAGAGGCGGAGUACUACACCGAGUCUCCCAAGUACUACAUCACUAAGGUACCGGAAUACUACACGUCUGUGUAUGCUGUCCCUGCCCACUACACCGAGGCCCCGCAUUACUACGACACCGAAGCGCUCAAGAACUACACUACAACCUACGUUGCCCCGAGCUACUACACCUACCUACCGAAGAAUUACUGUGCGUAAAAGGAGUCGUCAAAAAAAGAAGUCGUGUCCAAACUGCAGUGCCUUAUCCGUCACCAACUGUAUCCCUCAUCGUGUAACCGAUUCGCAAUUAUGGAUAACUAUGGCGUCGUGCUCCUGUUGGGUUUUGUAUCGUUGAUGCCUUGAUGGUCGACCACUGGUGUACCGAUGUCUCCUUGGUAUGGUGCAAACCAAACCGCGACGCCCAAUUCCUGCACCGAGGUCUUCCAGUACUACACCACUAAAGCACCGGAGUUUUAUACCACAACUUACGCUGCCUCGAGCCACUACACUGACGCCCUGAAGUAUUACUCUGCCCCGAGUUACUACACCAUCUUGGCGACGGAGUACUACAUGACUACGCAUGCUGCCUGGAGUUACUACACCACCAAGGUGACGGAGUACUACAUGAUGACGUAUGCUGCCCAUCCUACUACACCGAGGUUCUAAUUGCUACACCGAGGUUCCCGCUUUCUCCACCAAAACGGCCGAGUACUACACCGAAGUGGCAAAGUACUUCUCUACCCCGAUCUACACAACGCAGUCCCGACUUGCUACGCAGAAGCUGUUCUUUCGUGCUUUGUUGAACUGAAACACUACACUGAUGCUCCAGUCUACUACACCACGACCUACGCUACACCUAGUUACAACACCGCAGCCCUCAGUACACCGAAGAAGCCGCCUAUUACACAACCACGUACGCUGCCUGGUAUACUACACCGAGGAAUUUAAGUAUUACCCUGCUCCAAACUACUACCAUCUGAUGUUCAUAUGUUUUAGACCAGCAAUUCUCCUGACUUUGUCAGCACUACUUAUGUUGCUCCUACCUAUACAUCGAAGUUCUCAAGUAUAUCUCUGAAUGUGUUGAAAUAUUGCUGAAAUACAAGAUUGAUCGAUAAA